rnacentral:rRNA from 1 species
UACGAAGGGGGCUAGCGUUGCUCGGAAUCACUGGGCGUAAAGCGCACGUAGGCGGCUUUCUAAGUCAGGGGUGAAAUCCUGGAGCUCAACUCCAGAACUGCCUUUGAUACUGGAGAGCUUGAGUCCGGAAGAGGUGAGUGGAACUCCGAGUGUAGAGGUGAAAUUCGUAGAUAUUCGGAAGAACACCAGUGGCGAAGGCGGCUCACUGGCCCGGUACUGACGCUGAGGUGCGAAAGCG